rnacentral:rRNA from 1 species
GAUGAACGCUGGCGGCGUGCUUAACACAUGCAAGUCGAACGAUUAAGACCCCUUCGGGGGUGUAUAGAGUGGCGAACGGGUGAGUAACACGUGGGCAACCUGCCCCUUCCUCUGGGAUAACACGGAGAAAUCCGUGCUAAUACCGGAUACUCCGCACCUGCGGCAUCGCGGGUGCGGGAAAGCUCCGACGGGAAGGGAUGGGCCCACGGUCCAUUAGCUAGUCGGUGGGGUAACGGCCUACCGAGGCGACGAUGGAUAGCCGGGUUGAGAGACAGACCGGCCACAUUGGGACGAAGACACGGGCCAGACUCCUACGGGGGGCAGCAGUGGGGAAUUCUGCGGAAUGGGGGAAACCCUGACGCAGCAACGCCGCGUGCGGGAUGAAGGCCUUCGGGUUGUAAACCGCUUUCAGCAGGGAAGAAUACAGGCGGUACCUGCAGAAGAAGCUCCGGCUAACUACGUGCCAGCAGCCGCGGUAA